rnacentral:snRNA from 1 species
GUGCUCACUUCAGUAGCACAUAUACUAAAUUUGGAAUGAUACAGAAGAUUAACCUAGGGGUAAGAAUGUUCAAAAGGGUGACAUUGGCCAAGGCACACUGUAUGCAUAAACUGCUUUGUACAACUACUUAAAGAUAAUUUUGAAAAAAGAAACAAGGAUUAGUAUGACCCCUGCUCAAUGGAUGACACACAAAUUUGUGAAGCGUUCCAUACUUUA